UACGAAGGGGGCUAGCGUUGCUCGGAAUCACUGGGCGUAAAGGGUGCGUAGGUGGGUCUUUAAGUCAGAGGUGAAAUCCUGGAGCUCAACUCCAGAACUGCCUUUGAUACUGAAGAUCUUGAGUUCGGGAGAGGUGAGUGGAACUGCGAGUGUAGAGGUGAAAUUCGUAGAUAUUCGCAAGAACACCAGUGGCGAAGGCGGCUCACUGGCCCGAUACUGACGCUGAGGCACGAAAGCGUGGGGAGCAAACAGG
rnacentral:rRNA from 1 species